rnacentral:rRNA from 1 species
AUUGAACGCUGGCGGCAGGCCUAACACAUGCAAGUCGAACGAGUGGCGGACGGGUGAGUAAUGUCUGGGAAACUGCCUGAUGGAGGGGGAUAACUACUGGAAACGGUAGCUAAUACCGCAUACCAUCAGAUGUGCCCAGGUGGGUUUAGCUUGUUGGUGGGGUAACGGCUCACCAAGGCGACGAUCCCUAGCUGGUCUGAGAGGAUGACCAGACACACGGGAACUGGGACACGGGCCAGCCUCCUAGGGGAGGCAGCAGUGGGGAAUAUUGCACAAUGGGCGAAAGCCGGAUGCAGCCAUGCCGGGUGUAUGAAGAAGGCCUUCGGGUUGUAAAGGACUUUCAGCGGGGAGGCGUUACCCGCAGAAGAAGCACCGGCUAACUCCGUGCCAGCAGCCGCGGUAAUUC